rnacentral:hammerhead_ribozyme from 1 species
AUCCAGCUGACGAGUCCCAAAUAGGACGAAACGCGCACCAAACUGGAU